UACGUAGGGUGCAAGCGUUGUCCGGAAUUAUUGGGCGUAAAGAGCUCGUAGGUGGUUUGUCGCGUUGUUCGUGAAAACUCACAGCUUAACUGUGGGCGUGCGGGCGAUACGGGCAGACUAGAGUACUGCAGGGGAGACUGGAAUUCCUGGUGUAGCGGUGGAAUGCGCAGAUAUCAGGAGGAACACCGGUGGCGAAGGCGGGUCUCUGGGCAGUAACUGACGCUGAGGAGCGAAAGCGUGGGGAGCGAACAGG
rnacentral:rRNA from 1 species